UAUUGGGCGUAAAGCGCGCGCAGGCGGUCAUGUAAGUCUGGUGUUUAAUCCCGGGGCUCAACCCCGGAUCGCACUGGAAACUGCGUGACUUGAGUGCAGAAGAGGAGAGUGGAAUUCCACGUGUAGCGGUGAAAUGCGUAGAGAUGUGGAGGAACACCAGUGGCGAAGGCGACUCUCUGGGCUGUAACUGACGCUGAGGCGCGAAAGCGUGGGGAGCAAACAGGAUUAGAUACCC
rnacentral:rRNA from 1 species